AAUUGAUUAGAGAUAUGGCCACGUUUUUUUUUCCACGCUUCAAAAACGUGGCUAUAGAGUGAAACAGGAUCGUUUUAUAAGCGUGGCAACAGAUCUUCAUUAUGGUUGCGGUUAUGAAGCGUGCAUUCGUCUCUGCUGGGCAUCCCCUUUCAAUCUCUCUCUCUCUCUCUCUCUUGGAAUAGCUCCACAAGAUCCCAGCCCCUUCAAUUUUGAUACAAAGACUGCAGGGAAAGCCAGUCACGUGAAGAGGGAGGAUAGUUGUCAGGUAGUUGCUAAACAAAGAACAAGUAAAAAAGGUGUGACAACAGAAGCUUAAGAAGGGAGAAAAGCCCCUGCUGAGGGGUGUGUGUGAUAUUCACAAAGCUAGUCGAUUUUGCCACUGAACUGAUCUGUAAAGAACUCCAAGCACUGAAACCACUACUUAGCCAGGGACAACCACACUAUUACUAACUUGGAUGAAUUGAAGCUGAAGUUGUAUGUACGAAUAUAGAUUUUGGAUGAAUACAACCGUCUUCUAACAUCUCAGUUGGAAACUCAAAGACAAUAUUAUGAAUCUUUGCUGGCAGAGGCAAAAAGCAAAGUGGACAGUUCUGUCUCUGAAGUAGUUGAGAAAGCUGUAACUUCUUGAUUGCAG